GGGGCCGACCUGGUUUCGACGUGGGUAGCAAAGCAACUCAGGGCAUACCGAGGACCCGUCACCUCGUAAAUCAAUGGGACUUUAGUAACUGCGAACGACGAAACGUACGCACUGGCGGCUUAACCCCGCCAGCCUUGCACUAACUCACUGACGGGUUAGGGGUCGCAAGACCCGGCAAGGUCAUUCACGUCAGUUAAUCCCUGGUGGUGUCACGACGCCAGGGCCUAAAAUCUAGUGACUCGCCGUCACGAAGCGUGUUCGUCCGCGUCGGUGCGGUUAAAUCAAAUGACAGGACUAAGUAUGUAGAACUGGUUGUGGAGUACUUACGGACGCGGGUUCGAUUCCCGCCGGCUCCACCA
rnacentral:tmRNA from 1 species